GGCCGGUUAGCUCAGUCCGUUAAAGCGUGGUGCUGAUAACACCAAGGUUGUGGGUUUGAUCCCCACUUGGUCCC
rnacentral:tRNA from 1 species